GACAGAGGUGCCGAGCGUUAGGCGGAAUCACUGGGCUUAAAGCGUGUGUAGGCGGAUCGUUAAGUACCUUGUGAAAUCCCACGGCUCAACCGUGGAACUGCUGGGUAUACUGGCGAUCUUGAGCCACCUAGGGGCGAGCGGAACAAGCGGUGGAGCGGUGAAAUGCGUAGAUAUCGCUUGGAACGCCAAUGGUGAAAACAGCUCGCUGGGGGUGUGCUGACGCUGAGACACGAAAGCCAGGGGAGCGAACGGG
rnacentral:rRNA from 1 species